rnacentral:lncRNA from 1 species
AAAUCAUAUAUUAUAGAUGAACUGAUGCAGUUUGGAUCUGUUUCCCUGCCAAAUCUCAUGUUGAACUGUAAUUCCCAAUAUUGGAGGUGGGGCUUGGUGGGAGGGGAUUGGAUCAUGGGGGCGGAUCCCUCAUGAAUGGCUUAGCGCCAUCUCUUUGGUGCUGUCCACACAAUUGUGAGUGAGUUCUUUGGAGAAUUAGUUGUUUUGUUUGUUUGUUUUUUGAGAUGGAUUCUCACUCUGUCACCCAGGCUGGAGUGCAGUGGUGCAAUCUCAGCUCACUGCAACCUCCACCUCCUGGAUUCAAGCGAUUCUCCUGCCUCAGCCGCCUGAGUAGCCAGGAUUAUAGGCCUGCGCCACUGCGGCCAGCUAAUUUUUUUGUAUUUUUAGUAAAGAUGGGGUUUCACUGUGUUGGUCAGGGUGGUCCUAAAAUCCUGAACUCAUGAUNAUUAUCCGGAGGAGCUGGAAGAUGACGCCGAGGACGCCAGUUACUCUUCGGAAAGCAGCUUCAGCAGCACUCCAGAAAUUUCCAAGGAAACUAUAUUUCAUACAUUGAUGGAAAUGUAUGGAAAGCAUACAGAUGAACUGAGAAACUAAAUCUGGGCUGCAAUUUAAUUACAGAACUGAGCCUUGGAACAUUUCAGGCCUGGCACGGAAUGCAGUUUUUACACAACUUGAGGCAUGAGGAGGUGAGAGAUGGAAAGAAUGCUGUCUGUCAUUUGGAGUCAGAAGGAAAAGAAGGUUGAGGGUCUGCCAGCUCUGCUCUAGUGGUUUUUUCCUGUUUCACCUUUUACAAAAUCGAGAUAAUCGUUUCUACUUGGUAGCGAUAUUGUGAGGUGUAAAAUGGAUUAAUACAUGGAAAAUGCUUAAAGCAACUUCUGGCAUACGGUGAUCGCUCAACCAAUCCAUUGUUAUUUUAUUAUUAUUAUUUUUGUAAGACAGAGUUUUGCUUUUGUUACCCAGGCUGGAGUGCAAUGGUGUGAUCUCGGCUCACUGCAACCUCUGUUUCCCGGAUUCAAGCGAUUUUCCUCCUCCUGAGUAGCUGAGAUUACAGGUGCCCACCACCACACCCAGCUAAUUUUUUGUUUUGUUUUGUUUUUUGUUUUUUUUGAGACAGAGUCUCGCUCUGUUGCCCAGGCUGGAGUGCAGUGGCACGAUCUCGGCACACUGCAAGCUCUGCCUCCCGGGUUCACACCAUUCU